UUAAACUGAAGAGUUUGAUCCUGGCUCAGAUUGAACGCUGGCGGCAUGCCUUACACAUGCAAGUCGAACGGCAGCACGGGUGCUUGCACCUGGUGGCGAGUGGCGAACGGGUGAGUAAUACAUCGGAACAUGUCCUGUAGUGGGGGAUAGCCCGGCGAAAGCCGGAUUAAUACCGCAUACGAUCUAUGGAUGAAAGCGGGGGACCUUCG
rnacentral:rRNA from 1 species